GUAGCAGGAUGCUCACUUCAGCAGUACAAUGAAACAGAGAACAUUAGCAUGACCCCUGCACAAGGAUGACACAAGCAUUCUCAAAAAACAAACAAACAAAAAAUUCAU
rnacentral:snRNA from 1 species